UACGGGGGGAGCAAGCGUUGUUCGGAUUUACUGGGCGUAAAGGGCGCGUAGGCGGCCACUGCAAGUCAGUUGUGAAAUCUCCGGGCUUAACCCGGAAAGGUCAACUGAUACUGCAGGGCUAGAGUGCAGAAGGGGCAACUGGAAUUCUCGGUGUAGCGGUGAAAUGCGUAGAUAUCGAGAGGAACACCUGCGGCGAAGGCGGGUUGCUGGGCCGAAACUGACACUGAGAGACGAAAGCUAGGGGAGCGAAUGGG
rnacentral:rRNA from 1 species